ACGAACGCUGGCGGCGUGCCUCAUCCAUGCCAGUAGAACGCUGAAGGAGGAGCUUGCUUCUCUGGAUGAGUUGCGAACGGGUGAGUAACGCGUAGGUAACCUGCCUGGUAGCGGGGGAUAACUAUUGGAAACGAUAGCUAAUACCGCAUAAUAGUAGAUGUUGCAUGACAUUUGCUUAAAAGGUGCAAUUGCAUCACUACCAGAUGGACCUGCGUUGUAUUAGCUAGUUGGUGGGGUAACGGCUCACCAAGGCGACGAUACAUAGCCGACCUGAGAGGGUGAUCGGCCACACUGGGACUGAGACACGGCCCAGACUCCUACGGGAGGCAGCAGUAGGGAAUCUUCGGCAAUGGACGGAAGUCUGACCGAGCAACGCCGCGGGAGUGAAGAAGGUUUUCGGAUCGUAAAGCUCGGUUGUAAGAGAAGAACGAGCGUGAGAGUGGAAAGUUCACACUGUGACGGUAUCUUACCAGAAAGGGACGGCUAACUACGUG
rnacentral:rRNA from 1 species